rnacentral:rRNA from 1 species
CCCUGCGGAAGGAUCAUUACCCUUUCUAUCGGGGGGUUGACACCAGCGCUCUGGGCUCUUGCUUGGUUCACUGGCUCAAUCCUUUCUGAUUCUACCCAUGUCUUUUGCGCACUAUUUGUUUCCUUGGUGGGCUUGCCCGCCAACAGGACACACCACAACCUCUUGUAAUUGCAGUCAGCGUCAGUAACAAUGUAAUUAUUACAACUUUCAACAACGGAUCUCUUGGUUCUGGCAUCGAUGAAGAACGCAGCGAAAUGCGAUAAGUAGUGUGAAUUGCAGAAUUCAGUGAAUCAUCGAAUCUUUGAACGCACAUUGCGCCCCUUGGUAUUCCAUGGGGCAUGCCUGUUCGAGCGUCAUUUGUACCCUCAAGCUUUGCUUGGUGUUGGGUGUUUGUUCCCUGCGCUUGCGCUAUCGGGGACUCGCCUCAAAACAAUUGGCAGCCGGCAUAUUGGCCUGGAGCGCAGCACAUUUUGCGCCUCUUGUCAUGGUUGUUGGCAUCCAUCAAGGACUUUUAUCAGCUCUUGACCUCGGAUCAGGUAG